rnacentral:rRNA from 1 species
UACGGAGGGUGCUAGCGUUGUUCGGAAUCACUGGGCGUAAAGGGCGUGUAGGCGGUCUGCUAAGUCUGGUGUGAAAUCCCCCCGCUCAACGGGGGAACGGCGCCGGAUACUGGCAGACUUGAGUACCGGAGAGGAAGGUGGAAUUCCCGGUGUAGCGGUGAAAUGCGUAGAUAUCGGAAGGAACAUCAGUGGCGAAAGCGGCUUCCUGGACCAGUACCGACGUUCAGGCACGAAAGUGUGGGGAGCAAACAGG